rnacentral:sRNA from 1 species
CUUUACUCGCCUGCUGAGGACGGAUCAGAUGAGCAUGGGUGUCAAUUCCACCGGCAGUGAUAAUCUUCCCUUUAGCAUCAAUGAUAUCCGUAUUCGACCCAAUUACCAUCGUGGAGGAGACUCCAUCCAUCGUGUCAGGAUUUCCGGACUUUCCAAUACCAACAAUAACGCCGUCUUUGACGCCAAUAUCUGCCUUGCAAAUCCCGGUCCAGUCAAGGACUACAGCAUUCACAAUGGCUAAAUCGAGGCAUUCCGCAUCAGG